UACGUAGGUCCCGAGCGUUGUCCGGAUUUAUUGGGCGUAAAGCGAGCGCAGGUGGUUUAUUAAGUCUGGUGUAAAAGGCAGUGGCUCAACCAUUGUAUGCAUUGGAAACUGGUAGACUUGAGUGCAGGAGAGGAGAGUGGAAUUCCAUGUGUAGCGGUGAAAUGCGUAGAUAUAUGGAGGAACACCGGUGGCGAAGGCGGCUCUCUGGCCUGUAACUGACACUGAGGCUCGAAUGCGUGGGGAGCAAACAGG
rnacentral:rRNA from 1 species